GAGGAAGUAAAAGUCGUAACAAGGUUUCCGUAGGUGAACCUGCGGAAGGAUCAUUAAUCGAAUGAACAUGUUUCUCGGCAUGAUAUUUCAAACCCCACCUGUGUACCCUUACCCUGUUGCUUCCGUGCCGCACAUGCUGCCAAGGCGUGCCCUCCCGGUCUUGGGUACCGCGAGUACGGCGAGUACCCGCUGACCCUGGGGAGCCGGCACGGGAGGUCAACCGUAAACUCCUGCCCUCGAAUGCCUUCUGUCUGAACUGUUACCGCAAGAAAAGUUAAAACUUUCAACAACGGAUCUCUUGGUUCUCGCAUCGAUGAAGAACGCAGCGAAAUGCGAUAAGUAGUGUGAAUUGCAGAAUUCCGUGAAUCAUCGAAUCUUUGAACGCACAUUGCGCCUCUCGGCAUUCCGGGAGGCAUGCCUGUUCGAGCGUCACCAGAAUCAACUCAAGCACUUUUGCGCGUGGUCAUGGAGGAAGAGUGCGCCCCCGUGGUGGUCUCCCCUCCCAAAAUCAAUGGCGGAGCGUCACUGGAACUCCUCGGCGUACUAGCAUCGUUCGCCGAUCAUCCCAGUGUCCCUCCCGCCGCACAACCCCCAGAAUUCUCUUGAUUGACCUCGGAUCAGGUAGGGAUACCCGCUGAACUUAAGCAUAUCAA
rnacentral:rRNA from 1 species